CCUACGGGAGGCAGCAGUAGGGAAUCUUUCACAAUGGGCGAAAGCCUGAUGGAGCAACGCCGCGUGCAGGAUGAAGGCCUUCGGGUUGUAAACUGCUUUUAUAAGCGAGAAAUAUGAUGGUAACUUAUGAAUAAGGAUCGGCUAACUACGUGCCAGCAGCCGCGGUCAUACGUAGGAUCCGAGCAUUAUCCGGAGUGACUGGGUGUAAAGAGUUGCGUAGGUGGCAUAAUAAGUAGCUAGUGAAAUCUGGUGGCUCAACCAUUCAGACUAUUAGCUAAACUGUUAAGCUCGAGACCGUUAGGGGUAAGUGGAAUUUCUAGUGUAGGAGUGAAAUCCGUAGAGAUUAGAAGGAACACCAAUAGCGUAGGCAGGUUGCUGGGACGGUUCUGACACUAAGGCACGAAAGCGUAGGGAGCAAACGGGAUUAGAUACCCGUGUAGUC
rnacentral:rRNA from 1 species